GAGGAGGAGAUAUCUUCUCACUGGCUACGGUGACUGAAAUGGGCCAGCGCCACAGGGAAGGUUUUUAGCGAUCCUUGGCUCCCAGCAGAGAAUAAGACUCUUCCAGUGGUGUUUGUGAGGCUUAAAAAGGACCAGUGUUUGGGAGAGAGGGAGCAGAGGUAGAAGACAUUGAGCCAAUGAAGCAGAGUGAAACUAAGAUCCAGAAAAAGAAUGAGAAUGAUUUUUUCUGGAGAUCACAGUGGUUUGUGAAGGGGCCGAUAAGAUGUCUGGUGAAGAGUAUGUCUGUAGAGAGAAUCCACAUCUCUGUAUCCAAGCUGGUGCAAUAAUUAAUCUUUCGUGAUUCUGACAGUUGCUUACAGAGUAGCAGAAACGAAAGCUCACACUCUGGCUGUGAUUAAUACAUCAUUAGUUGUCAGACUAAGGAUUUUGGAAGUGGGUAAAUAAGCCCUAGGCCAGUUGAUUGUGUCUAAGAAAACUGCGGAGGAUUACAGGGUUGGGGGGAGCUGGGACUCAGCAUUUGUUUACCACAGGCAGUUACUAUGUUUUGUUCCUUGUCUGAAACCACUCUGUUCCCACAGCGGGAGAAGAGGAGGAGAAAUGGGCAUAUGAUUUCUGAAACAAAGCUCUGCCUCAAGCCUCUGCUAUUCUGAAAAAAUGACAAAAGACCCAGCUGACCACAGUCCAUGUUGCCCUGGCUUCCUUGUGGGAUACGUAGGAAGCUGGGCCCUGACUGCAGUCUGCUACCCUUGUCCGGGACAUGAUGCAAAAUGUCUGCUGUGGAGAAAAACAGCUCUUGCUGUAUAGAUUCACAGUUUACAACGCCGUUUACUCCUGAGCGAGACAAGGGCAGCUGCUGGCUCGACCGCCACGAGCCCAUUGACGUUGCGAGGAAAGCUCCCAGCUGCUCCAAGGGCCGCAGGAGCGAGCCCUGUGAGGAGGAAAGCACGGUGUCACCGAGGCCACUGAUACCUGGCAGAGGAUGGGGAAGGAGAUGGGAGGGAGGAGGAAAAGAAAACUUGCCUCAUCUUGCAGCAGAAGACCUGAGGCACAGAGAUUAAGGGCUAGGCCUGAAACAGAUUUAGGCCAUGCCUACACGAAGAGAAGUACCCUGAGACAGGUUCCCUCAUGGGAGCCGGAGUCCACAUGGCUGAAUAGCUCUCCCAGGAAGGAUCUGCUUUGCCACAGGAGGAUGCUGCCCAGGACACUAAGAUUUCUGUUAGCUAGAGCUAAGGUAACAUUUCACACAUUCCCCUGGAUUCAAGGGAUUGCAACA
rnacentral:lncRNA from 1 species